AUAUAAAUGCGACUGUGAGAGUUGGAUGGAGAAUGACGAGAUGGAGAGGAAAUAGUUAAGUUCAAUACGCGAUGCUUGAUGGUAAGAGAAAAUAUAAAACUUGAAAUAUCAAAAUUCAGGUGAGCCGAGUAAUAUUAGAGACGGUGGAAAGGCAAGUAAAAUCCAAGGCAAAUCUAAAGUAAUGUGGUUCAGCUCGUUACUUUCUUGGGUUUCUGCAAGGAAAACGUGUGUGCACAUGUCGUCACUAAAGUUGAGCCGAAGAUACGCAUUAAUUCGAACGGCUAUCGUUAUAUCGAAUCGUGCAUGAAAGAGAUGCUCAAAAUAGCUGCUGCAAACGAUAAAAGGUCACUGGAACGUCUUCUGGGGAAGCCAGUUUUUGGAUUGGGAUGCAACCGUUAGAUAUUAUCCACUCACAUUUAGUGAGUGAUGGACGAAAUUAAGGAACAAUUUUAUACUAACCAAACAAGAACUACAAGCAAACGUUGCGGAAAGAAAUAAAUGACGCAUGAUUUGUCAAUAGUUCAUUGUUAUUUAAUAACUGUGUAAAGAUUAUCACCAAUUAAGGGCAUCGAAUCCAGAAUAUGAAAGCCAGAGCAAUUACCCCAUAAACGGAGCUUUCAAGUCAGAACUUGUGGCUCUGACUAACAGAAGUAAUUUGUGUGAGCAAAUAUAUUUGGCAGCGUUCUGUAGUCAAGCAAAUCUACGUAUACAAUAGGAGAAUACAAUAUAGCAAUACGAGACAUACAAUAGGGUAACCUUAUGAAAAUAAGAGGACGCCAUGCAAGAUUGGCAUCCCUUGGCUCGCUUUGGGACUGCGUCUGCCAUUUGUCAAUAUAAGUUUACGCCAUGUUAGUGGGCUAGAAAUUAUGCAAGCCAUCGAAGAAGCCGAAAAUUGGCCAACGUAGAGCACAGGAAACCGUGAAAUGGAUCUUACAUAAGCAAAGCUACACAUAACAAUUAUUCACCAUGACGACAAAAUUAACACAGCCACGUUGGCCAGGCCGCAUUUAGCUGAUUCUAUUCUGACUGAGCUAUCUUUCUUAGACUGAGCUAUUCAAGAUUACGCUGCGACUUAACUAGGUACCGUCAUCAGUAUAAUAAUACUCAUAUCAGAUCUUACACAAAAGUUUGAUUUUCCAGAACAAUCUCAAGCCAUUAAGAUUAGUUAAUGAUUUUUCCCUAUUCACCAGCUGCUCACUUCCGCUAAUCUGCUCCUGCCUAAAUAACCCAAGAGGGCCAAGCUGUCUAGGUUCUACUCAAGGUUCCACGAAUUUGUCGUUCACCAUGUUUACUUCCAAACGAGUGUUCUUAUUUUCUCAUUUAUGUUAUGGUGUUUUAUCCCGGCCGCUGUGUUAAUUUCGAAGGACUAGCUUAUAACCUAAUGCAGUAACAUGCCCUAUCCUCAUGAUCGUGCAGUGGAUGGUUAAUUGUUUGUCGAGUGCGAAGCUUUCGGCUAGGUUUGAGUCUAGGCAUAAACACCCCUGAUUUCAUGCUUUGUGCCGCCCGUCUAGAGGAAUGCCUAAUGAUAGUACUGAAUCUAAGACUGAAAAUAUUUAGAAAUAGUGAGAUCUCAGGCGUCUGAACGCGCGGGCUUCGGGCUAUUGUGUAGUUUGAAUUGCACUACAUAUGUCCUCU
rnacentral:lncRNA from 1 species